GAAACUUGUGUUCUUUAUAUGCGACGUCAUCAGGCAAGGUAGCCUUUUUUCAUGACGUCACAAUAGGAAAAUUGAGAAGAAAACAAAACAUUUUGACGUCAUAAUCAAAUUUUGAGUAAUCAUUUGCCGAGAACAGAUUUUUCACUAGUGAGGAGAAAUAUUUUUCUCACAUCGGUUAGGAAAUGUGAAAAAAGCACAAAAAUUAGAGAAAAAUAAUUAGACAGUAACCAUACAAAAAGAAAACAAAAAGAAAUCUAGAAGUAAACAUGCAGUAUCUAACAAUUAACAAGUGUCAAUUCUUAAUGAGAAAGAUUCUAGAAAAACUGUGAAUAAAUUUAACUGGC
rnacentral:lncRNA from 1 species